CCUUAGAAAAUGAAUACAAAAUCAAAUCCCUAUGAAUCAGACUGAUCGAAGCAAUCCCUGAAAAACAAAAAAGUUAAAUAGAAUGAAAGAUGAUCGCAGCAUGAUCAAUCAGAGAAUUAAAAAAAAUAAAUAAAAAGUUGAAGCAAAUUUCAUAAAUGGACGGUGAAAUCGAUGAAAGAAUAAAUACCGAAUCCUAAGAACGCCGGAGAGUUGGCGGUGUCGGGUUUGCCGGAGCACGACGGAGGAAUGGGGAAUGGCGGUGGCGUUUUCUCCAACCUUUUGGUGCACACACUUAUGACUAUAUUUGAUCAGAGAGAGAGAGAGAGAGAGAGUGUGUGUGUUUGUGUGUUGGUGGUUUUGUUUCAGAAAGAGAGUGUGAUGUGAAGAGAGAAGAGGAACGAAUUGAAAGAAGAAGAAGAAGAAGAAGAAGAAGAAGAAGAAGAAAGAGCUAUAAAGGAGACCAUACACAAACACAACUAUUUACUCCGUCGUCCAUGAUUCAUCAUUCAUGAAGAG
rnacentral:lncRNA from 1 species